CCUGAAGGAACGUUGAAGACGACGACGUUGAUAGGCCGGGUGUGUAAGCGCAGCGUGGCGUUGAGCUAACCGGUACUAAUGAACCGUGAGGCUUAACAUUACAACGCCGAAGCUGUU
rnacentral:rRNA from 1 species